ACAAUUUUCAUAAUAAUCCAACGUCUGUGUAGAUGUGUUCGUCAAGGCAUGUCGGGAAGGGAAGAACAGUGAGGUUGAGAUUCUGCAGAUCUUCACUGUGUACUUGCCGUACGUUCCAUAAGACGCCGUCGCCGGAAAAAGCCACACUGCCGCAGCUGGAAGACAGAGCACAAAGGGGCAUCAGAUCUACGUUUAAAAGACAACCAGCAUAUGGGAAAAGCCGCGUCUCUGCAGCAAAAACAAUAUUCUCUGCUUUGUUAUUCCUAACUGUGACUGAACUUAAUCUUUCAUAUCAUUGCCUUCCCAUACUGUACCUUAAAACUGAACUGCAGCUCUUUGGGUAAGGUUUUUCCCCCUUCUUCCAUAGUUAUUAUGUUUGGGGAGACUGUGCUGUUGAAAUGUAAAAAAUGCCUGUAAGCAAUAUGAAUAAACACAACGUUGAAUAA